rnacentral:lncRNA from 1 species
CCUGUCUUCUUUUGGGUUAAUUAGCUAUGUCUUAUUAUUCCAUUCUAUUACUUCUACUGGGUCUUCAGUUAUACUCCACUGUAUUUUUUUUUAAUAGCUGUUGUUUUAGAGAUAACACUAUGCAUCCUCAGCUUGUCACAGUCUGUUUUGAAUUAAUGACAUUCUACUUCCCUUAUAAUAAUAUAAGAAUUUUACAACAGUAUAAUUUUAAAUAUGCACACACUCUCAUCCUUUUUAAGAGUGUUGUAACAUAUUUUUCUCUUUUGAUACUUUAUAAAUCCAAAAUAUGUAGUUAUCAUGUUUCCUUUAAGUAGCAAACUAAAUUUUAAAGAAUUUUAAAAGGAAAAAAACUGUCUUUUAUAUUCAACCAUAUUUUUACUAUUCCCAGUGUUCUCCAUAUCUCCCUCUAUACUCAAAUUUCCAACUGGUAUAAUUUCACUGCAGCCUGAAAACUCUUUUAGCAUGUGGUUAGUGUUGGUGUACAUUUCUCACCACUCCAAAAGUCGCAUUCUACUGUCCUCCAUAAGAAGUACCUGAGUUUUUUCCCUGAAUGUAACGCGUCUUUUUUCCUCUGGUUGUUCUUGUGAUUUCCUCUUCAUCUUUCAUUUUCAGUUGUUUAGGAUAUGCGUACCUGGAAUUUUCUUUGUAUUUAUUCUGCUUGAGGUUCACUGAAGUUCCGAAAGUUGUGGGUUGACAUUUUUAAUUCAAAUUUGGAAAUUUCUGCUGACAAUCCUUGAUUACCUUUUCUGCUCUAUUCUCUUAUUUCUCUCCUUCUGGGACCCCAAAUACACAUAUUUUUGGUUGCUCAAUUUUAUCUCAUGAUCUCUGAGGCUCUACUCUUUUUGUAUUUUACCUUUCUCUCUGUGCUUUAGAUUGUAUAAUUUUAAUUCAUUUAUCUUCUAGUUCAUUUUCUCUUUCUUCCAUUAUGUCCAGCCCCAUCCAAUAAAUGUUCAUUUCAUAUUUUCAUUUCUCAAUUCCAGGAUUUUCACGUAGGUCUCUCUCUCUCUCUCUCUUUUUUUUUUUUUUUUUUACUAGGGAGAAUUAUGCCUCCUGCUUUGUUUUUGUUCCUCAGGAUUGCUCUGGCAAUUCUGGGUCUUUUACAGUUCCAUAUAAAUUUUUGGAUUGUUUUUUCUAGUUCUGUGAAAAAUGUCAUAGGUAAUUUGAUAGAGAUUGCAUAGAAUCUAUAGAUUGCUUCAGGUAGUACAGCCAUUUUUAUGAUAUUAACUCUUCCAACCCAGGAGCAUGGAAUAUCUUUCCAUUUCUUUGAAUACUCUUUAAUUUCCUUGAUUAAUGUUUUAUAGUUCUCAGAAUAUAAGUCUUUCACCUUCUUGGUCAGGUUUAUUCCUAGGUAUUUAUUUUUGGGGGGUGCAAUUUUAAAAGGUAUUAUACUUUUAUAUUCCUUUUCUAAUAUUUUAUUGUUAGUAUACAGAAAUGCAACUGAUUUCUGAAUGUUAAUCUUGUAUCCUGCUACUCUGCUGAAUUCAUUGAUCAGUUCAAGUAGUUUUUGGGUGGAGUCCUUAGGGUUUUCUAUAUAUAGUAUCAUGUCAUCUGCACACAGUAACAAUUUUACCUCUUCUCUUCCAGUUUGGAUACCUUUUAUUUCUUUUGUUAGUCUGAUUGCUGUGGCUAGGACUUCCAAUAUUAUGUUGGAUAAAAGUGAGAGUGGGCAUCUUUGUCUUGUUCUGAUUUUAGUGAGAAGGUUUUCAGCUUUUCUUCAUUGAGUAUUACAUUUUCUAUGGGUAUGUCAUAAAUGGCUUUUAUUAUGUUAAGGUA